rnacentral:rRNA from 1 species
AUUGAACGCUGGCGGCAGGCCUAACACAUGCAAGUCGAGCGGAGCGGCGGACGGGUGAGGAAUGCCGAGGAAUCUGCCUGGUAGUGGGGGAGAACGUCCGGAAACGGGCGCUAAUACCGCAUACUAUCGGAUGAGGCUAGGUCGGAUAAGCUAGUUGUGGGGGUAAAGGCCUACCAAGUCGACGAUCCGGACCUGGGCUGAGAGGAUGAUCAGUCAAACGGGAACUGAUACACGGUCCAGACUCCUACGGUAGGCAGCAGUGGUGAAUAGUUGACAAUGGGCGAAAGCCUGAUCCAGCCAUGCCGCGUGUGUGAAGAAGGUCUUCGGAUUGUAAAGCACUUUAAGUUGGGAGGCGUUACCAACAGAAUAAGCACCGGCUAAGUUCGUGCCAGCAGCCGCGGUAAUAC